AUGACCGCACCCCAACCAGUGAGGGAAGCAUCCGUCGCUAGUGUUACACGUCUCUUACAUCAACCACCAGGGAGGUCUGCGUUCGCGCCCCUUGUACAAGCUGGCGCACCAGAUCCUUGUGUGGUCCCAGGGCAAACUCCUCUCACUCAGAGCAGUAUAUAUUCCUUGGAAACUGAAUGUGGGAGCAGACAUACUGUCGAGGCAGGGGCCGAGGCCCGGGGAAUGGAAGCUUCACCCAGAGGUGGUGGAGCAGAUAUGGAGAAUUUUUGGCAGAGCUCAAGUAGACCUCUUUGCAACUCAGGAGACAGCACAAUGUCCCCUUUGGUUCUCUCUAGUUCAUCCAGCUCCCCUGGGACUGGACGCUAUGGUACAGACCUGGCCGAGGCUUCGUCUGUACGCAUUUCCCCCUAUUGCUCUGCUCCCGGGAGUUCUGGCGAGAGUACGCCGGGACGGGGUCCGUCUAUUGUUAGUAGCCCCGUUCUGGCCGGGCCGAGUAUGGUUCGCAGAUCUGGUCUCGCUCCUCGACGGCUCUCCUUGGGAGAUACCGAUCAGGACAGACCUACUCUCACAGGCGCAGGGCACGAUAAUUCACCCUCGCCCGGAGCUGUGGAAGCUGUGGGUGUGGCCCCUGAGGGGCGCAGUUCAUAGCAUCCGGUCUCUCAACCGAGGUUGUUGAGACCCUCCUCCAAUCCAGAGCUCCCUCAACGAGGAAACUGUACGCCCUGAGGUGGAAACUCUUCACCUCAUGGUGCAGAAACCGCCAGCUAGACCCAGUAAACUGCCCAGUCGGUACAGUUCUGGAGUUCCUACAGGCCAGGUUCUCUGCAGGGUUGACCCACUCCACGUUGAAGGUCUACGUGGCGGCCAUUGCGGCCUACCACGCCCUUCUCGAUGGUCAGUCUUUGGGAAGACACCCAUUAGUUACACGUUUCCUCCGCGGUGCGCUGAGGCUGAGACCUCCAGUACGGUCCCGUAUUCCCCCGUGGGACUUGGUUGUGGUGCUAGAGGCCUUGUGCAGACCUCCAUUUGAGCCUAUUCAAGAUAUUUCAGACAGACAUCUGACACUCAAAACCGCCUUUCUGUUGGCCAUUACCUCUCUGAGGAGAGUAGGAGAUUUGCAGGCCCUCUCAGUGGCCCCUACAUAUCUGGACUUUGCACCUGGCAUGACCAAAGCGUUCAUAUACCCUCGAGCGGGAUAUGUUCCUAAGGUCCCCUCUGUCACACCACAACCUGUAGUGCUGCAGGCUUUCUGUCCUCCUCCCUUUCGGGAGCCCGACCAAGAGAAGCUAAACUGUAUGUGUCCAGUUCGAGCACUGGACGCAUACGUCCACAGAGCUGCCCUGUGGAGAAAAACAGACCAAUUGCUUGUAUGCUAUGGUCCCCCCCAAGAGGGGUUCUCCUGCUUCUAAGCAGUCUAUUAGUCGUUGGAUAGUCGAGGCUAUCAACGCCACCUAUGAGUCCUCUGGUCGUCCCCCGCU
ensembl:lncRNA